rnacentral:rRNA from 1 species
CCACACCAAAAAACUUUCCACGUGAACCGUAAUAAUUAUGUUCUGUGCCUUCUUUCGGGAGGGCUGAACGAAGGUGGAUAGUGGCGUAUUUAAUUAUUAAUUUAGUUAUUUGUGCURCAGUCUGCCGAUGCUUUUUAAACCCAUUACUUAAUACUGAUCUAUACUCCGAGAACGAAAGUUUUUGGUUUUAAUCCAUAACAACUUUCAGCAGUGGAUGUCUAGGCUCGCACAUCGAUGAAGAACGCUGCGAACUGCGAUACGUAAUGCGAAUUGCAGAAUUCAGUGAGUCAUCGAAAUUUUGAACGCACAUUGCACUUUCGGGAUAUUCCUGGAAGUAUGCUUGUAUCAGUGUCCGUACAUCAAACUUGUCUUUCUUUUUUUGUGUAGUCAAGGAGAGAAAUGGCCGACUGUGAGGUGUCUCGCUGGCUCCCUCUUCGGAGGAGAAGACGCGAGUCCCUUUAAAUGUACGUUCGCUCUUUCUUGUGUCUAUGAGAAGUGUGACUUGUGAACGCAUUGAUCUGUUUGGAUCGUUUUGCGCGAGCGGGCGACUUCGGUUAGGACGUAAAGGAAGCAACCUCUAUUGGCGGUAUGUUAGGCUUCGGCCCGACGUUGCAGCUGACUGUGGUUGUUUUUCUGUUCUUUCCUUGAGGUGUACCUGUUUGUGUGAGGCAUUUUCUAAGCAAAUGGUUAUUGUUAGUAUCUAGUUGCUGCUCAUGGACGCUCUGUUCGCAGAGUAGAGAAGGCAACGCCAAUUUGGGACUAGUCUACGAAUGUGGUAUUCAAUUACAAUGUUUGUUGGCGCUUUUCAAUUUGGACCUGAUAUCAAGUAAGACUACCCGCUGAACUUAAG